rnacentral:rRNA from 1 species
GACGAACGCUGGCGGCGUGCCUAAUACAUGCAAGUAGAACGCUGAAGGAGGAGCUUGCUCUUCUGGAUGAGUUGCGAACGGGUGAGUAACGCGUAGGUAACCUGCCUGGUAGCGGGGGAUAACUAUUGGAAACGAUAGCUAAUACCGCAUAACAGUAGAUGUUGCAUGACAUUUACUUAAAAGGUGCAAUUGCAUCACUACCAGAUGGACCUGCGUUGUAUUAGCUAGUUGGUGGGGUAACGGCUCACCAAGGCGACGAUACAUAGCCGACCUGAGAGGGUGAUCGGCCACACUGGGACUGAGACACGGCCCAGACUCCUACGGGAGGCAGCAGUAGGGAAUCUUCGGCAAUGGACGGAAGUCUGACCGAGCAACGCCGCGUGGGUGAAGAAGGUUUUCGGAUCGUAAAGCUCUGUUGUAAGAGAAGAACGAGUGUGAGAGUGGAAAGUUCACACUGUGACGGUAUCUUACCAGAAAGGGACGGCUAACUACGUG